rnacentral:rRNA from 1 species
AGUUUGAUCCUGGCUCAGAUUGAACGCUGGCGGGAUGCUUUACACAUGCAAGUCGAACGGCAGCACGGACUUCGGUCUGGUGGCGAGUGGCGAACGGGUGAGUAAUGUAUCGGAACGUGCCUAGUAGCGGGGAUAACUACGCGAAAGCGUAGCUAAUACCGCAUACGCCCCUGGGGGAAAGCGGGGACCUUCGGGCCUCGCACUAUUAGAGCGGCCGAUAUCGGAUUAGCUAGUUGGUGGGGCAACGGCUCACCAAGCGACGAUCCGUAGCUGGUUUGAGAGGACGACCAGCCACACUGGGACUGAGACACGGCCCAGACUCUUACGGGAGGCAGCAGUGGGGAAUUUUUGGACAAUGGGGAAACCCCGAUCCACGCUAUCCCGCGUGUGCGAUGAAGGCCUUCGGGUUGUAAAGCACUUUUGGCAGGAAAGAACGGCACGGGAUAAUACCCCGUGCAACUGACGGUACCUGCAGAAUAAGCACCGGCUAACUACGUGCCAGCAGCCGUGGUAAUACGUAGGUGCAAGCGUUAAUCGGAAUUACUGGGCGUAAAAGCGUGCGCAGGCGGUUCGGAAAAGAAAGAUGUGAAAUCCCAGAGCUUAACUUUGGAACUGCAUUUUUAACUACCGAGCUAGAGUGUGUCAGAGGGAGGUGGAAUUCCGCGUGUAGCAGUGAAAUGCGUAGAUAUGCGGAGGAACACCGAUGGCGAAGGCAGCCUCCUGAUAACACUGACGCUCAUGCACGAAAGCGUGGGGAGCAAACAGGAUUAGAUACCCUGGUAGUCCACGCCUCAAACGAUGUCAACUAGCUGUUGGGGCUCUCUUCGGGCCUUGGUAGCGCAGCUAACGGCGUGAAGUUGACCGCCUGGGGAGUACGGUCGCAAGAUUAAAACUCAAAGGAAUUGACGGGACCCGCACAAGCGGUGGAUGAUGUGGAUUAAUUCGAUGCAACGCGAAAACCUUACCUACCCUUGACAUGUCUGGAAUCCCGAAGAGAUUUGGGAGUGCUCGCAAGAGAACCGGAACACAGGUGCCGUAUGGCUGUCGUCAGCUCGUGUCGUGAGAUGUUGGGUUAAGUCUCGCAACGAGCGCAACCCUUGUCAUUAGUUGCUACGAAAGGGCACUCUAAUGAGACUGCCGGUGACAAACCGGAGGAAGGUGGGGAUGACGUCAAGUCCUCAUGGCCCUUAUGGGUAGGGCUUCACACGUCAUACAAUGGUCGGGACAGAGGGUCGCCAACCCGCGAGGGGGAGCCAAUCCCAGAAACCCGAUCGUAGUCCGGAUCGCAGUCUGCAACUCGACUGCGUGAAGUCGGAAUCGCUAGUAAUCGCGGAUCAGCAUGUCGCGGUGAAUACGUUCCCGGGUCUUGUACACACCGCCUGUCACACCAUGGGAGUGGGGUUUUACCAGAAGUAGUUAGCCUAACCGUAAGGAGGGCGAUUACCACGGUAGGAUUCAUGACUGGGGUGAAGUCGUAACAAGGUAA